UGCUGGAGCCGGAAGGAACUCUGUCAUGUCAUAAUGAGACCCCAGAAGCAACAAGGAUGAAAAUGUUACCACAGUGUCAUUAGUCUUGGCCGUCACAUGUAGAAGAGCGAGUUGGAAAAUUAAAAGGUGGACACCACUCCUGUGCCCGCCUGACGUGGUGGGGAUGGCACCCUAUCCGAUCUGGCAAGAGAGACAGAAGGGGCAACUGCAGUCAGCUGGAAAAACUGUUGCAACCUUGCAAAAUGAAUAUGAGGAGUCAGCUGCUACAGAUAGACUAGUAUGGGGUACUGCAAUCAAGAAAGGAGUAGCUCUUUUUAAGCAGAACUUUCAUGAGGAUGAUGUGAUGAAGAUCCAAAAAUGAAAACAGCACCAGGUACUGCAAGCAACAAAUAUGGCUGAACAAUAAAUGAGCAGUCUUUGUCUCUCUACAA